rnacentral:piRNA from 1 species
UAAAUGUAGAACCACGUUCAGUGCCAACCA